UAAAUAAAAUCCGUUAUGUCGCUUUGGUGACUUUCGGAAUUGGGUUAUCUUAACCUUCUAAGCUAAGAAACCUGAAAUUGAUGUUAAUGUGCAUCUUAGACGUGUAUAAUUUUUUAUUUAUCCGUUUUCGAUGCCGAACUCUAUUAGGUAUGGUCAUGUCGUGUGGUUUCGUACCUAUAAUUCAUCAUA
rnacentral:misc_RNA from 1 species